rnacentral:rRNA from 1 species
GACAGAGGGUGCAAACGUUGUUCGGAAUUACUGGGCGUAAAGCGCGUGUAGGCGGCCAUGCAAGUCGGGUGUGAAAGCCCUCGGCUCAACUGAGGAAGUGCACCCGAAACUACGUGGCUGGAGUCCUGGAGAGGAAGGUGGAAUGCUCGGUGUAGAGGUGAAAUUCGUAGAUAUCGAGCGGAACACCGGUGGCGAAGGCGGCCUUCUGGACAGUGACUGACGCUGAGACGCGAAAGCGUGGGGAGCAAAC